GCCACUUUGCAUUUUUUUCUCCCGCGCAUGCUAUUAGUGGCACCUGACGUGAAUAAUUUUUCCAUUUAACUUAUCCCACACGUAUCCUACGUGUAUUGAACCUUCCACGUAGAGAUUGGGCAAAAUACCUUAAUUGUUAAAGUUAAUCAUUUCUUUCUCCCAACCAUUUCUCUCUCUUCGACCAUUUCUCUCUUCACGAUUCAGUUUAAGCAAGGCAGAAGAAAUAUCUCAUCUUCAAGAAUCUUCUUCGUGCAAGGUACCUAACAAUUGACCAUGGAGGAGAUCAUAUUUACGAAAAUUUACCAUGGUGAAGCCUCAUCUCAGAUUUCUCCUGUCCCUACUUAUGUUGGAAACUGUGUGUCAACCCUCAAGUAUAUAGAUAAGGACCACUUUUCCAUAUUGGAACUAUUAUAUUAUACUAAUGAAUUGGGGUAUGAAACUGUUGGAGGUUUUUAUUACCAAAAUUUAGUGACAAAAGAAUUCGACCUAAUUAAAUCUGACCAGCAUCUGUUGUACCUUAUCAAAGACUUAAAACAUGAGGACACUUUUGAAGUAUUUGUUUGUGAUGUAUCGGAUGAACCAUUAGUUGAUAUUUAGGGACUAGCUGGUUAUCAAACUAAUGAUAGUAUUGGUGUUGGUGAGGUUGUUAACAUAGGUGAAGAGUAUAAGGUUAGUAACAUAGUUGAAGAGAAUAAUAUUGAUUCUAUUAACCUAUAAGAUGUUGAUGUAGAUAGUGACUUAUCAGAUUUCUUGAGUAGUGAUUCAGAUCUAGGUGAUAUACCUCCAAAAGAUGGCUCAGAUGUUGAUGAGGAGUUGAGAGCUUUUAGACAAGAAAGAAAGAAACAAAAAACAGAGAAAAAAGGUCGUUGAACCUGACGAAAUACCAGUUGAAGAGGCUGGUGGUGUGGAUAGGGAGUUUGAUGAUAUUGGAAAAGAUAAAACUAACAAAUAUGCAGGAAAAUUAGGUAGAGAUGAGGAAUAUCUUGAUAGCUCCGACAGUUGGAGUGAUGAUAGUAAGGAACAACUUGAUGUGGAUGCUGUUAGGGGAGUAGAUGUACCUUCUAGAAGGAGAAGCAAAAAAGUAAGAUAUGAUGAAGAUUGUGAGUUGUCAAUAUUUGAGCUUGGGAUGGUCUUUGAGGGUACAAAUCAGUUUAGGAAGGCAGUGUCAAAUUAUGAUGUAGAGUGUAGGAGACAGUUAAAGUUGAGAAAGGCAUAGAGUGAGGGUAAAGUGCAAAAAUUACAAGUGUAAGUGGUUGUUAUAUGCUUCCAUUGACAAGGAUUCAGGUGAUUUCAUUGUAAAGAACUAUCAUCCUUUUCAUAAGUGUAUUCCAUUAAACAAGAACUAGUUGUGUAAUUCAAAGUUGAUAUCUAAAAAGUUUAAGGAUAGAAUUGUAUCUCAACCGUACUUAAGAAUCUGGGAAAUUCAAACUUUGGUAAGAAAUCAUUUGGAUCUUUAUGUUGGUAAGACUGUGUUACAACGCUAAAUAAAGGGUUAUGAAGAAAAACAUGGGUGAUUGGAAUCUGGAAUUUUCCAAAUUAUGUGACUAUGUAGAUAUGAUCAAGCAAACUAAUCUUGGAAGCUCUUGUUGGGUAAAAAUUGAUUAGGAAACUGAACUAGGAAAGGAAAUUUUUGUUUAUUUUUAUAUGGUUUUGAUGGUUGUUUUUUCAAAGGUGCCUGUAAGGGUGAGCUAUUAAUUGUUGUUGGAAAGAAUGGGAACAAUCAAAUGUAUCCCAUUGCUUGGGCAGUUGUGGAUACAGAAACAAAACAUAGUUGAAGUUGGUUCAGAAGGCAUUUGAUUGUUGAUCUCAAUUUAGAAAAUGGUGAAGGUUUGACUGCAAUGUCGAACAUGCAAAAGGGACUUGUUCCUGUCUUGAUAGAGUUGUUACCAAAUGCUGAGAAAAGAAUGUGUGCUAGACAUUUAUGGAGUAACUGGCAUGUGAAUUGGAAAGGAAAAGAAAGAAGGAAAUAAUUCUGGAGACUUUCAAAUCCUGGAUCUUAGCUUCUAGACAUAAAUCAAUUAUUACCAUGUUAGAGGACACAUAUAGACAUGAUCAAGUUUGCUAAAACAUGGAUAACAGAUAUUUCACCAAUAGCAAGGACAAUACUAGAAGAUAACAAAGAGUAUUCUAAUAAGUGUAAAGUUCAAUGGAAUGGGGUGAAUGGUUUUGAAAUUAGUGAGGGGGGGGGGGGGGGUAUUCAUUUGUUGUUCACUUGGACAAGAAAUAUUGUGACUGUAGGUUAUGGAUGUUGAGUGGUAUUCCUUGCCCUCAUGUUAUUUGUGCUUAUUCUUACUUGAAUCAAGAUCCUAAUCAAUAUGUAGAGCACCGAUAUAGGAAAGAAAUAUUUUUCAAGGAUUACAACCAUUUCAUCCAACCUAUUCUCAAUAUGAGGAUGUGGCCUAAUACUACAAAUCCAUCAAUAGAGCCUCCAAAACCAAGAAAAAUGCUAGGCAUGCCUAGAAAUAAUAAAAGAAAGUUAAAAGAUGAGCUAAAGAAAUUUGGUAAAAUUUCAAAAAGAGGAGUGAAGAUGACCUGUUCCAUAUGCAAGAAAUUGGGCCAUAAUAGAUUUGUCUGUGCAGCAAGAGUAAGAAUAUAAAUUCAUUCAUAUCUCAUAACAGACCUGUUCACAUUUGCAAAUUGCUUAAAGUUUAUACAUAGUAUAAUUUGUAUAUGAUUUUUGGUAUUAUAUAGUAUGGCAAGGGGAGCACUUCUAAGCCAAGUUCUAUCGGUGGUUACACCACAGCUCCACCAAAAGAUACUCAAAUAAGAAUAAGAUUAGAUUAACAUAUUCAAUAUCUUUCAUUUAUUGUACAUAUUAUUCAUUCAUAUCUCCUUAUUUAUGUUGUAUAUUCUAAAAAGAAAGGUCCUUCACACUCUACUUCCAGCACCACAUAUGCAAAUACAAAAACUUUCAAAUCAAGUGUUAUUUGUGGUGACACCACAGCUCCACCAAAAGACACUCAAACAGGAGUAAGACAUAUUCAUUUAUAUAUAGUUGUCUUUUAUUGUAUAGUUAUUCAUUUAUAUAUCCUUAUUUAUAUUGUAUAGUCUUAAAUGGGAUGUCCUUCACAAUCUACUUCCAACACAACAUAUGCAAAUACACAAUUAAUUCAAUCAAGCUCUGUUUAUGGUGACACAAUAACAAUAUCAAGAGCUCCUAAAAAAUGUGCAAGUUGGAAUAGGAAGAGGAUUGGGGAGAAAGAAAGCUAAUGCAAGAGGUGCUCCAUUUGUUAGUGAGAGAGAUGAUUCUUCUAGUCACAAGAGAUCAUACAGUUCUGUCUUAUUUGAUGCUACUAAUAGAGGAAACAAAAGGCCUACAACUGGUUUUGGUGUAUGCUCUGACCCUACAUAUGGGACUCAAGUGCUUAAUCCUGGUACAUCAAGUGAGAGGGUUCUACAUGGGACAACAUAUUUGAAGAGAGAUUCACCAACCAAUAUAGAUAUUGGUUUUAAACCCCGUGGCCUAAAAUAAAAUGGAAAAGAUGCAAUCAGCACCUCACAGUUGCAACAAAUGAGAGCAAACAAGAAAAACAAGUCUUUUUCAUCAGUUGGAACCUCCAAGAAGUAGCUCAUCCAAAAAGCUAUUAUAAUUUUGGGCUAUGUUAAAAGGGUUCUUUGAACAAUUUACUCUUACUUUAAUUUAUUUUUGAAGAAUUAGUUUUAUGUAUUUCUGAAGAACUAGUGUCAUGUGUUUUGAACAACUAGUAUAUAGGAAGGCAGUGCCUUUAUGAUUUGUUGCAUCUGUGAUUUUCAACUUAAUUUUGAUAUAUAUGCAACAGUGUGUUUGAAAAA